rnacentral:lncRNA from 10 species
GUUUUCCAGUGCCUGGAGUCUUGGGCAGGAAUGGGCCACUAUAAUGUCUGUGCCUAUCAGAUAAAGGCAAACCAGUGCUCAGAGGAACCCAACCAUCUCUGAAUUGAGACCAGAGAGCUGUCUCUAUGGAUAGUCCUUAGAGAAGGCAUUUCGGAACACAGUAAACAGCAGCCUGGUGACUCCGAUUACAGGGCCAGUUGCCUUUGUUACAAUAAAAGCAAGUCAUCUACACAGAUUUUUCCUACCAGGAAGAGCAUGUGCUGACCAACAGACAUGAAUUUCAGCCUGGUAGUUACAACAUUCACAGGAGUUUCACUCGUUGCCCAGGCUGGAGUGCAACGGCGCGAUCUCAGCUCACUGCAACCUCCGCCUCCCCAGUUCAAGCGAUUCUCCUGCCUCAGCCUCCUGAGUCACUGGAAUUACGGGCGCCUGACACCACGCCCAGCUAAUUUUUUGUAUUUUUAGUAGACAUGGGGUUUCACUAUGUUGGCCAGGCUGGUCUCGAACUCCUGACCUCAUGAUCCUCCUGCCUCAGCCUCCCAAAGCACUGGGAUUACAGGUGUGAGCCACUGUGCCUGGUCCAUUAAAAACAUUUGUAAAGCUAUGGUGUUGAUAAAGUAUUAUGAAAGACUGCAAAAAAAGAUGGCUAAUUUUUAGUUAUUAUUGCACAUGUUUAGAGGAGCUAAUGACAUUUUCUAUGAUUAAUAAAAGACAUUAUUUAUGUUUUUAUUUAUGUAUUCCACAACAUUUAUUUUAUUUUCUCCAUUUCAGGAAAACCACUAUGUUGUUACAAUAAAGAUUUUCAUGUAAUUUGUGUUCAAUUGAUAGUAAUAAUGUAACAAGUUAAAAAUGAAGGUAAUUGUGUUUAAAAUUUGAGCAUAUUUUCAUCAAAAUGUAAGUUAAAGUGAUUGUAAAUUUUAAGAUCAUAAUUACUUUGUAUAUCUUCAAGAAAAUUAUUGUUUUAAAAUAUUUAUGCCUAUUAAAAUUAGAAGGCAAAAUAAAAAUAUAUGAAUACCAACAUUUUAAAUAAAAAUCAUUUAAAUAA